GAGUUUUAAUUUUUGGAGAAAAGAUUCAUGAGGAGAAGAUGAUCUAGGUCCUACCUAAGUGGAUACUGGUAGAGGCCAGAUAAUUGCGUGACUAAAUCAGAACCUCAAGCUUGCUACGAUUAUCUACAGGGUAAUUAGAUUAUCCUUGAGAUAUUUCAUAUUUUCUCUUGCUUUUAGAUUUAUUUUAGAAUUAAUGUUAGAUAAUAAAAUUAGA
rnacentral:lncRNA from 1 species